rnacentral:sRNA from 1 species
GAGCAAACUCUGCACAAGAUGGCGGCGGUAGCGGCAGUGGCGGCGCGUAGGAGGCGAGACGGGGUUUCACUGUGUUAGCCAGGAUGGUCUCGAUCUCCUGACCUCGUGAUCCGCCCACUUCAGCCUCCCAGAGUGCUGGGAUUACAGGCGUGAGCCACCGCGCCCAGCCUACUCUGCCUUUCAAAGGGAAGGUGUAUUGGGCGUCUUUGGUACUGGCUUUUUUAGGGGUCUGCCUGGGAAUUACCUUUGCUGUGGAUAGAAGCAACUUUAAGACCUGUGAAGAGAGUUCUUUCUGCAAGCGACAGAGAAGCAUACGGCCAGGCCUCUCUCCAUACCGAGCCUUGCUGGACUCUCUACAGCUUGGUCCUGAUUCCCUCACGGUCCAUCUGAUCCAUGAGGUCACCAAGGUGUUGCUGGUGCUAGAGCUUCAGGGGCUUCAAAAGAACAUGACUCGGUUCAGGAUUGAUGAGCUGGAGCCUCGGCGACCCCGAUACCGUGUACCAGAUGUUUUGGUGGCUGAUCCACCAAUAGCCCGGCUUUCUGUCUCUGGUCGUGAUGAGAACAGUGUGGAGUUAACCAUGGCUGAGGGACCCUACAAGAUCAUCUUGACAGCACGGCCAUUCCGCCUUGACCUACUAGA